rnacentral:rRNA from 1 species
AUUGAACGCUGGCGGCAGGCCUAACACAUGCAAGUCGAGCGGAUGAAGGCAGCUUGCUCCUGGAUUCAGCGGCGGACGGGUGUGUAAUGCCUAGGAAUCUGCCUGGUAGUGGGGGAUAACGUCCGGAAACGGGCGCUAAUACCGCAUACGUCCUGAGGGAGCAAGUGGGGGAUCUUCGGACCUCACGCUAUCAGAUGAGCCUAGGUCGGAUUAGCUAGUUGGUGGGGUAAAGGCCUACCAAGGCGACGAUCCGUAACUGGUCUGAGAGGAUGAUCAGUCACACUGGAACUGAGACACGGUCCAGACUCCUACGAGAGGCAGCAGUGGGGAAUAUUGGACAAUGGGCGAAAGCCUGAUCCAGCCAUGCCGCGUGUGUGAAGAAGGUCUUCGGAUUGUAAAGCACUUUAAGUUGGGAGGAAGGGCAGUAAGUUAAUACCUUGCUGUUUUGACGUUACCAACAGAAUAAGCACCGGCUAACUUCGUG